UAUUUAUUUUUGAGACAGAGAGACACAGAGCAUGAGCAGGGGAGGGGCAGAGAGACAGGGAGACACAGAAUCCGAAGUAGGCUCCAGGCUCUGUGAUGUCAGCACAGAGCCUGACGUGGGGCUCAAACUCACAGACUGUGAGAUCAUGACCUGAGCUGAAGUCAGACACUUAACCGACUGAGCCACCCAGGUGCCCCACGGCCUAAUAGAUGAGAAGUCGAAUGUGAUUUUAAAGUGAAUCAUGUCAAAAGGAUUGGAAGACACCACAAGAGUCAAAGGAGUUUUGAGUUUCCAGUAAUGUAAUCAAAAUGCUAGAAGCACAGUAAACAAAAUAACAAAUCUACAAAUUGGCAAAACAAAUGAAGUGUAUUCUGGAAUGGGCAACUCAGCAAAACACGCACAGAAACAGGGUUAUUCAUUACUACUGCACACUAUGUUAUUCUUAGUUUGCAUUCAGAAAGGAAAAUGGAAUCAUCAAGCAUAACAUCUUCUCCAGGGAACCGAGAACCGUGUCUGUGGUGUGCAUGGGCACAAAUGUUCUUUAUCAUAGUCUAUAAAGUGAACGAAUACCAACAACUUAAAAAAUCAUAAUGGCUUCAAGAGCAUGACAUUGAACAUUAGCAAAGAAGUUUAAAAAUAAUUUCAGUUUUUUUUACCUGAUGCCUGCUAGACAAGUCCAAUCUGUUCUAUUUAUUGUCUACAUAACUUCUUGAAGAGGAAAAAUGAAAUCCUGCUUAAAGAGAUUUAUGCAGUUAGCUGUGUAUAUGAUAUAAUACAAUGGGAGGUACCCAAACAGCUUUUCAGGAAAGUGUUCUUUUAAAUGGUUGAAAAUACCCUUGUUCUCAAUUUCCAUAUUAUGGAUAAGCUUUAAAUUCCAUUAAAGCUUAACCCUUUAUUCCUCAAAAUAAACCAUGGGGUUUAACUUCAAA